UACGGAGGGUGCGAGCGUUGUCCGGAAUCACUGGGCGUAAAGGGCGCGUAGGCGGCGCGGGAAGUCAUCGGUGAAAGUUCAGGGCUCAACUCUGAAUCGGCCGGUGAUACUCUCGUGCUUGAGCACUGUAGAGGCAGGUGGAAUUCCGGGUGUAGCGGUGGAAUGCGUAGAGAUCCGGAAGAACACCGGUGGCGAAGGCGGCCUGCUGGGCAGUAGCUGACGCUGAUGCGCGACAGCGUGGGGAGCAAACCGG
rnacentral:rRNA from 1 species